UGUUGGGUAGUAACGGAUUACAUGUAACGACGUUACGUAAUUUAAUUACAAAAAAUGAGUAACUGUAAUUCGUUACAGUUACAAUGAGAAAAUAUGUAAUUCAGUUACAGUUACUUCCGAAAAUAUUAAGAAUUACAAAUUUAGUUACAUUUAAAAAAAAAUAUGAACAAAAACCUUUGCGAAAUAUGUAAUGAUAUUUUUAUUGCUUUGCGCCCUAUAUCGCCGUUUCCCGCUACGGCUCCUUGUCUCUAUCAUAUUUGCCAGCCGCAAUGCCACUCUGAUGUUCCGUCCUGUGCUGGCGGAGCCUCCUGGAGGAACAGCAAGCGAGCGGACGGUUCCAUUUCAGCUCAAGCAGCGCAUCAAAAAUGACAGCCUUCCAGCACUGGAAAUAUAAGGAGCAUUUCAUUUACAUAUGUGAAAAUGGCUCAAAUUUAACCGUGCAGUGCAAGAAGUGUUUGCCGGCUAUCAAGAACUUGUCCACGUCGAAGCAAUCUAUGUCAAACCUGAGGAAACAUUUAGAGAGGAAGCAUCCAGGCGUUCUUCUGAAAGGCACGUUUAGUCCAUCUGAUACUCGGGAAGUAUCCACAGUGUCCACAGUUGUUUUGCUUGUCUAACACAGUGAUUGUGUGAUUUUGGAAAACUAUUGUUUUUCCCGUUUUGAUUUUGAAUGAUAUGUUGCAAACACUUCUAUUUUUGUCAACAUUCCAUUGACUGUUAAAUGUUCAAUGACUAACUUGACUACCCAUCGUCCAUCUUAAUUCUUGAUGCACUGUAUUGUGCCGUGUUUAAUUUUACAAGCAAGGGUGUGCAAAGAAAAAAUCAAGAAAAAUAAAAUGUGAUGUAAAAGUCUUACUUUGCUUAUUUAUUACUAAACUAGAGCACUUCAUUGUCAUUGCACAUGUAUGAAGUAAUGAAAUGCAGUUUGGCAUCUAAUCAAGUGCAACGUGUGCAGAUUGUACAGCAUGCAGUAUUUAGAGAUAAAAUGCAGUUAUUCACAGCUAGGGUAAGGAAAGAUGGUUGAUAGAUAUGUGCAGCAGAAUAAAUAAAUUACCCCUAGGGAAAUGCAUGUAUGUGCAGAGCCACUGUAGAUAGGGCUAUACAGGUGCGAAUUGAAGAGGAACACUGUACAAAUGUUGGGAUGGUACAGUAAGGUAUGGAUAGAGGGGAAGGAAAGACUGGUCUUUGGGAAGAGUUCAAUAAGGUGACCGCUGUAGGAAAGAAGUGGUUUCUGAACCUGCUUGUGUUAGUCUGCAAACUGCGUAAAUGGUAGAGCCUGGGGGAGGAGCAGAAAAGAGUAUGGCCCGAUGAGAGGAGUCUGAGAAAAUCUUUAAUGCCUGGUGCUGGCAUCUCUUCUUGUGGACCUCCUGUGAUUGCCUGUCAGCAAUUCCCUCUCAGCUUAGUGCUCUUUUAAGGUUCCCACUCAGUUCUCAAAAAUUAAAUGUUGAACAUGGGUCAAUACUCAUUAAAACCUCAAAGUAAUCAAAAGUAAUUAGUUACAUUACUUUUUAAAAGUAAUCGAAAAAG